ensembl:rRNA 5S_rRNA 5S ribosomal RNA
GCUUAUGGCCAUACCACCCUGAGAACGCCCGAUAUCAUCUGAUCUCGGAAGCUAAGCAGGGUCGGGCCUGGUUAGUACUUGAAUGGGAGACCGCCUGGGAAUACCAGGUGCUGUAAGCU